CGCAUCUGUGCAUGCAGCAUAUCAAUAAGCGGAGGAAAAGAAACUAACAAGGAUUCCCCUAGUAACGGCGAGUGAAGCGGGAAGAGCUCAAAUUUGAAAUCUUAAAGGGUUUCCCUUUACGAAUUGUAGUUUAAAGAAGUGUUUUCUGUUGAGGUUUUGGUAAAAGUUCUUUGGAAUAGGACAUCAUAGAGGGUGAGAAUCCCGUAUUUGACCUUUACUUUCAACUUUGUGAUACACUUUCAAAGAGUUGGAUUGUUUGGGAAUGCAGUCCAAAAUGGGUGGUAAAUUUCAUCUAAAGCUAAAUAUUGGCGAGAGACCGAUAGCGAACAAGUACCGUGAGGGAAAGAUGAAAAGAACUUUGAAAAGAGAGUUAAACAGUACGUGAAAUUGUCAAAAGGGAAGCGUUUGACACCAGUGUUGUUUUUCUGAAAAUCAAUUAAAGAACUGUUUAUGCUAAGUUGUUUAGACUUUAUCAGCUAACUGUUUAGUUUUGAGCUUUUCUUUAAUGCACUUUUCAGUUAACAAGUCAACAUCAAUUUCUUUUGCUGUAAAAAAGCUUGAGGAAGGUGGCUAGAGAUUCGUCUUAAGUGUUUAUAGCCUCUUGCCUAUGCAGUCGGAGAGAUUGAGGUCUGCAGCGUAGAUCCUUCGGGGCUAAAUGCAUUUGUGCUAAGUUAUAACAUUUUCAUAGACAACUUGUUGACUAUGAUUUGUCUUGUAGCUUACUCGCUUAUGUUAUUUUACCUACGCUUAGGAUGUUGACAGCAGUAUAGACUGU
rnacentral:rRNA from 1 species